rnacentral:rRNA from 1 species
GACGAACGCUGGCGGCGUGCUUAACACAUGCAAGUCGAACGGAAAGGCCCUGCUUUUGUGGGGUGCUCGAGUGGCGAACGGGUGAGUAACACGUGAGUAACCUGCCCUUGACUUUGGGAUAACUUCAGGAAACUGGGGCUAAUACCGGAUAGGAGCUCCUGCUGCAUGGUGGGGGUUGGAAAGUUUCGGCGGUUGGGGAUGGACUCGCGGCUUAUCAGCUUGUUGGUGGGGUAGUGGCUUACCAAGGCUUUGACGGGUAGCCGGCCUGAGAGGGUGACCGGCCACAUUGGGACUGAGAUACGGCCCAGACUCCUACGGGAGGCAGCAGUGGGGAAUAUUGCACAAUGGGCGGAAGCCUGAUGCAGCAACGCCGCGUGCGGGAUGACGGCCUUCGGGUUGUAAACCGCUUUCGCCUGUGACGAAGCGUGAGGGACGGGAAUGGGGAAAGAAGCACCGGCUAACUACGU